rnacentral:rRNA from 1 species
UACGUAGGGGCUAGCGUUGUCCGGAUUUAUUGGGCGUAAAGAGCGUGUAGGCGGCCAGGUAGGUCUGCUGUGAAAACUCGAGGCUCAACCUCGAGACGUCGGCGGAAACCAUCUGGCUAGAGUCCGGAAGAGGAGAGUGGAAUUCCCGGUGUAGCGGUGAAAUGCGCAGAUAUCGGGAAGAACACCCGUGGCGAAGGCGGCUCUCUGGGACGGUACUGACGCUGGGACGCGAAAGCGUGGGGAGCGAACAGG